GCUCAAAUUUGAAAUCGGUGUCUACCAAACGCAUCGAGUUGUAAUUUGGAGGGACAACUUCGGGCUGAACCACACCGUAAGUUCCUUGGAACAGGACGUCAUAGAGGGUGAGAAUCCCGUGUCUUGGUGUCGGGUCAAACCAUGUGAAGUGUCUCCGACGAGUCGAGUUGUUUGGGAAUGCAGCUCAAAAUGGGUGGUAAAUUUCAUCUAAAGCUAAAUAUUGGCGAGAGACCGAUAGCGCACAAGUAGAGUGAUCGAAAGAUGAAAAGCACUUUGAAAAGAGAGUCAAAAAGUACGUGAAAUUGUUGAAAGGGAAGCGCUUGCGACCAGACUCGAUCCUUGGUGAUCAGCCGGGCUCCGGUCCGGUGCCCUCGCCAUUGAUUGGGCCAGCAUCGGUUCCGACGGUGGGAUAAAAGGAGGAGGAAUGUGGCUCCCUUCGGGGAGUGUUAUAGCCACCUUCACAAUGCUGCCAGUUGGGACCGAGGACCGCGCUUCGGCUAGGAUGCUGGUGUAAUGGUCUUAAGCGACCCGUCU
rnacentral:rRNA from 1 species